rnacentral:rRNA from 1 species
CAGCCCGGUAAUUCCAGCUCCAAUAGCGUAUAUUAAAGUUGUUGCAGUUAAAAAGCUCGUAGUUGAAUUUCGAGACCGGUUUACUGGUCGUGCUUUUGUACGUACUGGUAUUAUUGGUUUCUCCUUUCUGACGAAUCAUAAUGCCAUUAAUUUGGUGUUUUGGGGAAUCAGGACUGUUACUUUGAAAAAAUUAGAGUGUUUAAAGCAGGCUCACGCUUGAAUACAUUAGCAUGGAAUAACGAAAUAGGACGUUUGAUUUUAUUUUGUUGGUUUCUAGGAUCGACGUAAUGAUUAAUAGGGAUAGUUGGGGGCAUUAGUAUUCAAUUGUCAGAGGUGAAAUUCUUGGAUUUAUUGAAGACUAACUACUGCGAAAGCAUUUGCCAAGGAUGUUUUCAUUAAUCAAGAACGAAAGUUAGGGGAUCGAAGACGAUCAGAUACCGUCGUAGUCUUAACCAUAAACUAUGCCGACUAGGGAUCGGAUGAUGUUAAUUUUUUAAUGACUCAUUCGGCGCCUUACG